UACGUAGGGGGCAAGCGUUGUUCGGAUUUAUUGGGCGUAAAGGGCGCGUAGGCGGCGGGGUAAGUCGGGUGUGAAAUCUCAGGGCUCAACCCUGAAACUGCACUUGAUACUGCUCUGCUUGAGGACUGGAGAGGAGACUGGAAUUCACGGUGUAGCAGUGAAAUGCGUAGAGAUCGUGAGGAAGACCCGUGGCGAAGGCGGAUCUCUGGACGGCUAACUGACGCUGAGGCGCGAAGGCCAGGGGAGCAAACGGG
rnacentral:rRNA from 1 species